CCUACGGGUGGCAGCAGUGGGGAAUAUUGGACAAUGGGCGAAAGCCUGAUCCAGCCAUGCCGCGUGUGUGAAGAAGGCCUUCGGGUUGUAAAGCACUUUCAGUGGGGAAGAAAGCCUUGGGGCUAAUACCCUCGAGGAAGGACAUCACCCACAGAAGAAGCACCGGCUAACUCCGUGCCAGCAGCCGCGGUAAUACGGAGGGUGCGAGCGUUAAUCGGAAUUACUGGGCGUAAAGCGCGCGUAGGCGGUCUGACAAGCCGGUUGUGAAAGCCCCGGGCUCAACCUGGGAACGGCAUCCGGAACUGUCAGGCUAGAGUGCAGGAGAGGAAGGUAGAAUUCCCGGUGUAGCGGUGAAAUGCGUAGAGAUCGGGAGGAAUACCAGUGGCGAAGGCGGCCUUCUGGACUGACACUGACGCUGAGGUGCGAAAGCGUGGGUAGCAAACAGGAUUAGAUACCCCAGUAGUC
rnacentral:rRNA from 1 species